GACGAGGGGUCCAAGCGUUGUUCGGAAUCACUGGGCGUAAAGGGUGCGUAGGCGGGUCUUUAAGUCAGGGGUGAAAUCCUGGAGCUCAACUCCAGAACUGCCUUUGAUACUGAGGAUCUUGAGUUCGGGAGAGGUGAGUGGAACUGCGAGUGUAGAGGUGAAAUUCGUAGAUAUUCGGAGGAACACCAGUGGCGAAGGCGGCUCACUGGCCCGAUACUGACGCUGAGGCACGAAAGCGUGGGAGCAAACAGG
rnacentral:rRNA from 1 species